rnacentral:misc_RNA from 1 species
GUCAGCCGGCAGCCUUGACUUCCGAGCCCACCACCAAGUAGGCCUUAACGAAACCUCACUCGCAACCCAGCAAUUCCCGGCCUGCGAUGCCAAGUUCAGCGAGUACACCCCGUGCCAGGACCCGAAGAGGGCGAGGAAGUACGAGAAGAAGAUGCUCAUUUACCGCGAGCGACAUUGUCCGGCGAAAGAGGAGCUACUACAUUGCCUCAUCCCUGCUCCUCCAAAGUACAAGAACCCCUUCAAGUGGCCCCAGAGCCGAGAUUAUGCGUGGUA